UAUGUGGCUAUAAUUCUCUCUGUGACUUUUGUUCUAUUUUUUGGAUAGGUUAUCCCACAAGCUAUAUGCACUAGAUAUGGACUUGCAGUAGGUUCCAACUUUGUUUGGCUUGUUCGGAUUUUGAUGAUAAUUUGCUACCCAAUUUCAUACCCAAUUGGAAAGAUUUUGGAUUGGGUAUUAGGACAUAAUGAAGCUUUAUUUAGGCGAGCUCAGUUAAAAGUCCUUGUCUCCAUCCACAGCCAAGAGGUAAAGUAAAGCUGUUGAGGAUA